AUUGAAUAUAAUGGAGAUAGAACAUUAGAAGCUAUCAUUAAGUUUAUUGAAGCUGAUGGAAAACAAGAAAGUUCUUCUAGCACAACGAGUGAAGAAGGAGAAGAAGAAGAAGAACGUGAGAAGCCUAAAGAUGAAUUGUAGAUAUUAAUUGUAAAGAAAUGUUUAUUAUUAUUUUUAUUUUUUUUUUGUUCCAUCUUACUUGUGAAAAACUUCAGCACAUUAGAGUUCAACAAUUGGACUAAUACCUAAUUGUGUAUAUAUAGCUAAUUUUGGUUGUAUUUACKUUAUUUAAACUAAAAAAUUGGUAUUAUUACAAUUGUAAGAAAAACAAGAUUAAUUUAACUUUCAUAAUGUACCCUUUCUCAAGACUGUCAUAGAUAGGUCUGAAUAGACUUCUUAAGAACCAUAUUUUAUUUUAAAUCAAUGUCUAUGAUGUUUCCUUGGUAAGUAAAAUGAAAAUAAUAAAUUUAAUAUUGAUAUUUUUAAUUUA